CAAUCCUUCCGCUUUACUCUCUUAAUCUCUGUCUAGGGUUUCGAAUCGUGAUGGACGGCGGCUUCACCUUCACCUGCGAUGAGGAUUACUUCGGUUCCGAUCCAGAUGUUUACCGCUUUGACCCCAGCGACUCCGACGAGGUGCAAGCGUCCCGUCCGUUUCAUGUGGACAUCAAUCCAGAAGUUAUCUGCAAUGAUGAUGCUGCUUGGGAAAAAGAGGUGGUACCAGCUUUUGCUGAACUUGGCUUUAUAUGCAUAUGGACCAGCGAUAAUAAGAUGGGAUUUUCGAUCGAUCCAAAACUAGGGCCGCUUGAGGACACGAGUGUCUACUUCAGGGCUGUGAAUGCUUUAAAUGCUUUUGCAUGUGGUUUUCCUGCACAUUGGGCACUGAAACCACUGUCGGGCGAUAUGGAGUUCGAUUCCUUCGAGCUGACACCCGCGCACGGGAGUACUGAGGCACAAUUGGUUGAACGGUACAACAUUUUUAAAGGCCUAUAUCAACAUCAUCCUGAGCUUCAGGCGUUGCCCUGUGCAAUUAGGUUUUAUGAUGAACCUGAUAUUUCUCUUGUGGCAAGUAAACUAUUAAUUUAUCUACUGGUAGAUUUCUCGGUGGAAUUCAUUAAGUGCGGUGGUGAUUUUGAAAGCCUGGCCAAGGAGUUGUUGGAAGAUCAUGAAAGACUAAAGGAUCACCCAUUUCCAUAUAUGGAUGAUACGAUGGAGACUGGCAAAGCACUAAGUGAUGCACUGGGCAGAUGUAAUCUGCUGACCUGAUGAACUCCACUUUUAUAAAUCUAUGUUCAGGAUCUUUUUUACAUUUCCAGUUGAGAUUUUCACUGCUUUCUCUGUGAUGAUUUAAAUCCACGUAUUCAUCCAUUAUGUAACUCUGUUGUAGCAUUUUGGAUUGAAAACAUUUUAGUUUAUCUUUAUCCUUCUGUGGUUGGGGAAAUUUGGUGGUCUUUAUGUCUAGCUUAUAGCUCAGUUUCUCUCUCACAAUUAACCUGGGUUCCACUAAAUACUCUUUACUUCUAAUAUCGGGUCGUUUUGAUGCAUCUCAAUGAAGGGCCAGGAUCUUCGUGAUCAUGUGAGGCCGUCAUCUCUCUCUCGAUAUUUGUUCUCUUAUCUUCUCGCAAUUUUUGUUGACUCUCGCUUUGUGGUCUAUAUUAUCUCCACCUCCCUUUUCACAGCCUCCGUCUUUCUUGUCUCCUUUUCUUGAAUUUGGGGCUAAUUCAGGCUAACAAAAUAGUACACUAACCAUGGCUUUAGAUUCAGGUUCGCUCGAACUUUCAUAAUACCAAUCAUCUAAUUUUUGAACUAAAUUGAUACAAUAUUCACUGUAUGAAGUCUCAUUGGAUUCUAUGCAUCAAUUUUACUCUACGAUUUCUUGCCAACUGAUAUAUUUGUGUUUUUCAAUUGUGGGUUUCACUGAAAGCUACAAGGCCAAAAACUCCAAAAGAAUUGUAUUUGACUGGAGUCAUAAGCUCUGUGGGCACUGUAUGGCAAGUCAUUGGUGCCAUACAAAGCUUCAGAUAUGCUAAUAUGUCCCAUUAUGAUGUAGUCUGCCUCAAAGAAUUUAGAAGCAUGCUGGUUGUGCUGAUUAUUGUUACCUGUCUCGUUUUGGUCUAUGAUCAGAAUCUACAGUUGGAGUGUUGAUUCAGCUCAACCUUCUGACAUGAGCAAAUGGAGCAAAUGGAUCAUAUUUGUGGAGAUGCCCACGUUGUGUUUCUUCUGUUAGUGAAGGAAUUGAAAGCUAUAAUGAGGUUCUCAUGAAAUCCUUUACAGUUCAUAUUGUAAUUUCAUAAUUGGAGUUGAAUAAGAUGCUGAUUAAUGAGAAGCUUCUUUUCCA